rnacentral:rRNA from 1 species
CGCCUCUUGCAAACAACAAAUAAGAGGUCCCGCCUGCCCUGUGACUAUAUGUUUAACGGCCGCGGUAUUUUGACCGUGCGAAGGUAGCGCAAUCACUUGUCCUUUAAAUGGGGACCUGUAUGAAUGGCAUAACGAGGGCUUAACUGUCUCCUCUUUCAAGUCAAUGAAAUUGAUCUCUCCGUGCAGAAGCGGGGAUACCGCCAUAAGACGAGAAGACCCUGUGGAGCUUUAGACACCAAGACAGACCAUGUUAAAGACCCUAAAACAAAAGACUAAACUCAAUGCCCCCUGCCCUGAUGUCUUCGGUUGGGGUGACCGAGGAGAAGAACACAACCUCCAUGCGGAAUAGGAGUACUACUCCCACAACCACGAACCCCCGUUCUAGCUACCAGAAUUUCUGACCCUAUGAUCCGGCAACGCCGAUUAACGAACCAAGUUACCCCAGGGAUAACAGCGCAAUCCCCUUUUAGAGCCCCUAUCAACAAGGGGGUUUACGACCUCGAUGUUGGAUCAGGACAUCCUAAUGGCGCAGCCGCUAUUAAGGGUUCGUUUGUUCAACGAUUAAAGUCCU